UUCAUAUUAACAUUGACUGUGAAAAAAUAUAUAUAUAUAUAUUAAAAAAAAAGCUAAUAGCAUAUUAGAUUGAGAAAAACUAAUAGCUGCUAUUAGUAGUGAGCUGGAACGAAAAAAAUCCUUAAGUGUACGGUAGGUAGGAGGGGUUAAAGAAGGUCGUAUUCGUUAAUGGAGAACGCUGCUUUCAAAAACACGUCUAGGGAUACAGAGAGCUGCGUAAGCUUGGGGAUGACUCCGUUCUUCAGACGCACCCCUUCCGAGUCAUACCAGUGAAAGCUUAGCCAGUAGCCAUGUUUCAUUUUGAUACGUUCUAAUACACUAAUAAAAUAUUGUUGUUUUCGCUAUCCGCUGCUAGGAAAACACUGCGUCGUUAUUGUUUUUAUGGAAACCCAAGGCACGUACAGUAUUAAUAAGGCAGUGCCUUUUUUUGUCGUAUCACGACCGUAUCGUAUAGAGAUACCGCUGUUAUUUUAUCGUAUCGGAAUUGAAUUUAGUUUUUUUUUUAUUGUUACGAGCCUAGUAUUUAUGGUUAUGUUCUCAUAUACACACAUUCUAUGUUUUGUUCUUGUUCCCUACAGUCGUAGUCCCUUUUAUCCCUUUUAUCAUUACAUGAUAAUACAGGUGCUAAAACUUUGCUUAAAGGCCAACACACCACCUGCGCUUCGGUUUCUCAUCACGUUUUCUGUCCAAUCAAACGCUCUAUAGAAUCUGAAGCGUCCCGCCCACAAUGUUAUAAAAAGCCAUGGUACUAACUAUCAAGCCCGGGUUGUGAGGUAAGCUAAACACUAUUGGCUGUUUAAAAAGAGGGAGGAGCUACUUGAUAUCUCCCACCCUGACCUCUUACUACUGAGGUAAACGCUGUGUCUUUAAGCCAUCAAUAUUAAAACUGCUUUUUCUAAUACACCGUUACAAAUGAUGUUAUUUAGAAACAAUACUGUUGUAGUAAGUGUUGUGAUAAUAUACUAAACGGUGAUAGAUUUAUUCACUCGCUGGCAGUAAUUCCUGUACGUGUUGAUCAAAUUAUAACGCGAUUAAAUGAUCGAGGGUUAGACCGAGAAAAGGAAAUUCCAUAAUCUUUUCUUUAUGAAUGAUUGGCUUUGUCUUCAUCUCUGACUGAAACAUAUCUCAGCUUGACGUGUGUACGUUUGUGGUUGUCUGUGUGUGAGGGCGUGGCUUGUGAUAAAAAAAUUUGAAUACGUUGAGCAUAAAUCUGAAGACGAUCUUAUCCAGGUUCGACGUUAUUUGCAGCGGUUUAUACAGUACAAGAAAGGACUCUGUUGAUUUCUUGAUUCUGAUUGGUCGGAAGAUUCAGCUCUAUCGACUGGAAGGUUCUGAGUUCGAAUCCGAGCUCAGACGGAGACACGGUUAGCAACGUCUUAAAGCUUGAGUUAGUCAGCUUUAUGCUUUGCUAUGGAUUCUGCUUCACUUGGACAGUAAGUUGAUGUGGAUUUAUGGGAUGAAUAAAAUGGAAAUGUUGCCGCGUUUGUAAUUAACGUAUUUUCCGGUCAGUCUGCUGAGGCAGACCGUAUUUAGAUUGAAAUAAAUGGGUUCAAUUCUGUAAAAAUAUAAAUAAUUCAGUUCUUAGCACCAUUUUCAAUGUGCUGGAGUGUGUGUGUGUGUGUGUGAGAGAGAGACCUACUCUUAAAAAGCAUCUUGUACGUUUCCUGACUUCAUAAAUCCUGCUUGAUUAAAAAGACGUGCGUGUAAAACCUGACAGAACUAUUGCUCUGUUAGUAUAUCAACCCUUUUUUAAAAAUUUUUUAAAAUUUAACUUAAUGUUUUAAAAUACCCAUAAUAUUCGUAUUCCAUUAAAUUCUCAACAAAUCUGAUUUGUAGUAUUACCGUGCAAUAGAUCUGGCUCAUUUUUCCAAAUCAGACUUUUUUUCUUUUCUGUCCCUGAAAUUAGCUCCACCCACAACCAGAACAGAGCUGCUCAACUUCUCUUAACCACUUCUCUUCAAAAGCAGUCACAAGGGAUAAAAGAGGAAUAAGAAGCCCGUCAAGCUUUUUGUUCUAAUUGUAAUUACUGGCAGUGCUUUAAAAAAAAAAAAAAAAAUACAUAUUGACUCUUUAAUUAUUAUUAUUAUUAUUAUUUAAUCCCUGAGCUACCAUAGGGUAUAGAUCUGCAUACAGUUACAGCUCUGAAACCAGUUCAAGAUAUUAUAGCACAAACUUUCGCAACACACUUGUAGGAAAUCAUUUAUAAAUCAUCGAUUGUUCACUAGCGCAUCAAUUCUCUAGCCACAGUAUUCAAAUGUAAAAAUAGUCCCAGGCAACAAGAUUACUCCGUGCUCUGGUCUUUAUCUCGUUGCACCAUACAAUAGAAAUAACUGCACAGACUUUGGAGAAUAUUGUGUCGGUGCGUUAGAGACAUAUUAGAGCUUCUAAAAGCAAUUUUGUUGUCUCAUUUCAAGCCCUAUGGGAGGUUAGUUUUGCUCGGUAUAUUACUUUAGAAGCAGGCAUUCCACAUAAACACCACACAAUUGUUUUUUGACAAUACUGUGAGUUGAGGGGGAAAUAUGUCCAUUGAGAGAGAACAUUGUUUCUUAUACUUUUAAGAAUAAGUGCUUAACUCCCUCAGUCCUCAGUGAGGAAAUCCUCUUCUUCAGACAGGAAGUGGAUAAGGGUGUGGAAUCAGACGUUGUCAUGAUGACCUCUUGCAGGUAGCGUGAGAAUAUCAGAUGCCCCAAGAGGUUUUUUUUUUACACCCUGUUUACACUGCGUCUUAAUUUUUUUUUUCAUUUUGGUUGAUCAGACUUUGUGAAAACCCAUGGAUAGUGUGAUCGGAUCCGUCGGAGUGCCUCGUGAGGUCAUCUCGGGCAGGUUUAACCACUUUCUGUACAGCAUCGCAGCUCCGAACGCCGCAGCGCAGGCACCACACGAAACGAGAAAGAAGGAAGAGGUGAUGAGUGAUUUGGUCCAGUUUGAUCCAGACAGACUGCUUAAUGUUCUGAAUAUGGAGAAGGACUGCAGGGAGGCAGGACGAUAGAAGGUGAACAGGCAAGCGUGCAAAGAAAAACAAACCAAGUAACAUUCAAACAGAGAAAUGAGGGUGUAAAUGAUUUCUGAUGUUAACCAGUUGUAAUAUUCCAAUUCUGAAAAUGAGUACGAACAAACGAAAACAAACAAACGAAAGGAAAGAAGCAAGCGAGCAAACGAUAAGAAACAAGCGAGCAAGUGAGAAGACAGAAGCAAACGAAAGGAAAGAAGCGAGCGAGCAAACGAAAGGAAAGAAGCAAGCGAGCAAACGAAAGGAAAGAAGCAAGCGAGCAAACGAUAAGAAACAAGCGAGCAAGUGAGAAGACAGAAGCAAACGAAAGGAAAGAAACAAGCGAGCAAACGAAAGGAAAGAAGCAAGUGUGCAAAUGGGGGGAAAAGAAACAAACGAAAAGAAGCAAACGAAAGGAAAGAAGCAAGCGAGCAAAUGAUAAGAAACAAGCGAGCAAGUGAGAAGACAGAAGCAAACGAAAGGAAAGAAACAAGCGAGCAAACGAAAGGAAAGAAGCAAGUAAGCAAACGAAAGGAAAGAAGCAAGCGAGCAAACGAAAGGAAAGAAGCAAGCGAGCAAACGAAAGGAAAGAAGCAAGCGAGCAAACGAAAGGAAAGAAACAAGCGAGCAAACGAAAGGAAAGAAGCAAGCAUGCAAACGGGGGGAAAAAGAGACAAAUGAAAAGAAGCAAACGAAAGGAAAGAAGCAAGCGAGCAAACGAUAAGAAAGAGACAAACGAAAAGAAAGAAGCAAGCGAGCAAACGAAAAGAAACGUGAGCAAAUGAAAAGAAACAAGCGAGCAAACGAAAAGAAAGAAGCAAAUGAAAGGAAAGAAGCAAGCGAGCAAACAAAAACAAAGAGACAAACAAAAAGAAAGAAGCAAAUGAAAGGAAAGAAGCAAGCGAGCAAACAAAAAGAAAGAAACAAAAAGAAAGAAGCAAAUGAAAGGAAAGAAGCAAGCGAGCAAACAAAAAGAAAGAAACAAAAAGAAAGAAGGAAAUGAAAGAUAAGAAGCAAGCGAGCAAACAAAAAGAAAGACAAACAAAAAGAAAGAAGCAAAUGAAAGGAAAGAAGCAAGCAAGCAAACGAAAAGAAAGAGACAAA